AUAUUUCAGAAGGCUCACAAGGUCCCUCUUGCCUCCUUCAAUCUCCAUAUUGAAAUUCCAGCGCCAAUAAUACCCAAGAUCUUGUGAAAGAGACAAGUCAGUUUGUUUUUCAAAAACUUUCCUUCAAAUAUAACACUACCAACAUUUCUCAGAACUUGUCCCCUUCCUCGAAUCUUUGCUUGAAAGCACCCUAGAAAAUACAGUUUAAUGGGGUACAAAAGGCUAUGGAUUAAGAAUUACUACAGCAAGUGAUUUAGUUUUAGGCAAAGAGGGAAUGAACGAGCAAUGGCUGUAACACAAUUUGUCAUUCUAGUUAAAAGACAAAGACCUUCUACUCCUUUGCCUUAGGAACAGCAAAGCCAUUCCUUGCAGGACUUCUCGGGACUGUACAUCAUUUUAGGAAUGCAGAAUGCCUCAUCACAGCUCCAGAACAGAACAAUUUGUGCUGCAAGGAGCUAUCAGCUUGUUUUGCAAAGAAGUUGACAGCUGGGAUAGCAAGAAACACCUAGAUAGCAGAACAAGGACCUAGGCAGACAGAUAAUGAAAUCCAAGGAAGCAAGCUAAGUCUGCCAUUUUCUAAAAGCAGCAUCGUUUCCCUUGGCUUAACAGAUCCAGAUAGGACUCAGCAUGGGGAAGACUUUGCAGCACAAAUGAUAAUCCAGGAAACAAUAGGGCAUUAUACGUUUUAACAGACUUUAAAUAUCCUAUUCUUCAGGCAAGUCACCAGAAAGGGAAGCACGGACCUGCCUUGGCCACAGCAGCAAUAUCAGAGGAUUUCAGGAGCAUGUAACAGAGGACACCGUUUUUGAUUUAUCAGCUCACAAUCCAUAUUCUGAGUUUUCCAGAAGUGAAGGAGACUCAAGAGACUCUUGGUAUGACCAAGAGUCUCAAGUUGCACUAGAGGAGGUUUGAAUUGGGUAUUAGGAAGAGCUUCUUCUCGAAGAUGGUGGUCAAGCAUUGGAAUGUAUUGCUGAGGGAAGCAGUGGAAGUAUUUAAGGGAUGUAUGGAUGUGGCACUCAAGGACAUGAUUUAAUGAUGGGACUCAGCAGGUCAGGUUGAUUCUUGGACUUCAUGACCUUGAAGGUAUUUUCCAAUCUAAUUCUGUGAUUCUAGGACAGGGAGUGAGGAUUACAAUCAGUCCAUAACGCUUCAUCUCUGCUGCUCCUUCAU
rnacentral:lncRNA from 1 species